rnacentral:lncRNA from 1 species
AUGGGGCAGGAGCGUUCCGGCGACACGCUGCCGGCCCGCCCGCGGGGCCCGAGCCUGGGGAAGGGGCCGGCUGCGCCCCCCGUCCCGGUCCCGGUCCCCGUCCCCAUCCCCGCGGCGCCUGGGGAGCCCGCCCCCCCCCCCUCCCCGCCGGCCUGGGCCCCGGCUGCGCCCCCGGGGAGCGCUCGGGCGCGGCGCGGGCGGGGGCGCGGGCGGGGGCGCGGGCGGGGGCGCCCCGGCGGGUCCGCACCCUGCGCCGCCGGCGGCCCGGCCCACGUUUUCGCUCUCUCCGGCUCCCUCCGCCCCCUCCGCUCCGUCCCUCCCCUCCGCGCCCCUCCCUCCCCGCGCUUCCCCUCCUCCUGCCUUGGUCAUGUGUCGCCUUUUUUUGUUUGCAGUGGAAACAAUUUCUCGCCGCUCGGCGCGCCCCGGCCCGACGCGCCGCGGCGGAGGCGAGCGGGAGGCGGGACGGGGCGGGGAGAGCGGCGGGGCCGGCGGGAGGACGCGCGGCGCGCCCGGCGGACGCCGCAGGUCCCAUGCCGCGCCGCGACCCCCGCGCCCCUGCCGCCCGCGCCCGCGCCCGCGCCCGCGCCCGCGGCCGCCCCCCGCCGCCCGCCGCCCGCCGCCCCGGGCUCGCCGCGCCGCGCCCGCGCGUCCUCAGCCGGGCCCCCGAGCGAUGCCCGCUGGGCGCCCGCGAAACUUUGUCGGCUCCCGCUGAAGGGCUGCGGCGCCCCCGCGCCCCGCGCCCCGCGCCCCGCGCCCCGCGCCGGCCAGGUGAGUGCGCUCCCCCUGCCGCCGGCGCGCGGGGGGGACUCGGCGGCCCCGGGCGGCGGCGCGCGUCCGAGGCCAUCGUGCAGGCGACCUCGCCGCCCUCGGCCGACCGGGACGCCGCAGUUCCUGGGGGAAGGGCCCGGGCUGGGGUGGGGUCGGCGGGGGCGGCCCGGCGGGGAGACGGCAGAGCCCCCGGAGCCGGGAAGUUGCCCGGUCCGAAGAGUUUCCUGCCCCGACGUGCGGGCUGCUUCGCGGCGCCUCGAUUUCCGAGAGACGCCCGAAGGGAGCGGAGUUGGCAUUGUCCGCCGAGGACGGGAUCCCCGCCGUCCCGGGCCCCGGGGGCGGGGCGGGGGUGCCGAUCUGGGGGAGACCCCAGGGUGGGGAACGGGCCCCUAA